rnacentral:rRNA from 1 species
CCUACGGGAGGCAGCAGUGAGGAAUAUUGGUCAAUGGACGAGAGCCUGAACCAGCCAAGCAGCGUGAAGGAUGAAUGCGCCAGGGGUUGUAAACUUCUUUUAUCAAGGAAUAAAGCGAGCCACGCGUGCCUUUGUGAGUGUACUUUAUGAAAAAGCAUCGGCUAACUCCGUGCCAGCAGCCGCGGUAAUACGGAGGAUCCGAGCGUUAUCCGGAUUUAUUGGGUUUAAAGGGUGCGUAGAUGGGUUGUUAAGUCAGUUGUGAAAGUUUGCGGCUCAACCGUAAGAGUGCAAUUGAUACUGGCAGACUUGAGUACAGUUGAGGUAGGCGGAAUUCGCGGUGUAGCGGUGAAAUGCAUAGAUAUCACGAAGAACCCCGAUUGCGAAGGCAGCUUACUAACCUGUGACUGACAUUGAUGCUCGAAAGUGUGGGUAUCAAACAGGAUUAGAUACCCGAGUAGUC